rnacentral:rRNA from 1 species
UACGGGGGGAGCAAGCGUUGUUCGGAUUUACUGGGCGUAAAGGGCGCGUAGGCGGCGCAACAAGUCACUUGUGAAAUCUCCGGGCUUAACCCGGAGCGGCCAAGUGAUACUGUCGUGCUAGAGUGCGGAAGGGGCUACUGGAAUUCUCGGUGUAGCGGUGAAAUGCGUAGAUAUCGAGAGGAACCCCUGAGGCGAAGGCGGGUAGCUGGGCCGACACUGACGCUGAUGCGCGAAAGCCAGGGGAGCGAACGGG